UACGGGGGAUGCAAGCGUUAUCCGGAUUUAUUGGGUUUAAAGGGUGCGUAGGCUGUGAGGUAAGUCAGCGGUGAAAUGCCCCCGCUCAACGGGGUGAAGUGCCAUUGAUACUGCCUUGCUGGUAUGCGGAUGCCGUGGGAGGAAUGUGUGGUGUAGCGGUGAAAUGCAUAGAUAUCACACAGAACACCGAUUGCGAAGGCAUCUCACGAAUCCGCUAUUGACGCUGAUGCACGAAAGCGUGGGUAUCAAACGGG
rnacentral:rRNA from 1 species